UCUGGAAGACGAAGAGCAGUGGUUCUAAGCUCUACCCAGGGUGCGGUGUUCGUGCCUCUAACCCUAAACCUGGCCAUUCCGUCGACUAUGUUCGACGUGAAUAGAAAAAGGGGGUCGUUUGUCCAUUCCUUUCCCCCUCCAUCAAAAAAGAAGGAAUGAUGCUCAGAGCUUAGAGCCAUUGCUGAGUUGAAAAGGUAGAUGGUUGAGGGGUGCUCAUGGUCCGCUAUGUUGCACGAAAUCCCAUCGUCUACCUCCCGUCUUCUUUUGCAAACACCUAUUU
rnacentral:telomerase_RNA from 1 species